rnacentral:miRNA from 1 species
UUGGAUUAGUUCUCAUUGAUGG